GACGGAGGAUGCAAGUGUUAUCCGGAAUCACUGGGCGUAAAGCGUCUGUAGGUGGUUUAAUAAGUCAACUGUUAAAUCUUGAGGCUCAACCUCAAAAAUCGCAGUCGAAACUAUUAGGCUAGAGUAUAGUAGGGGUAAAGGGAAUUUCCAGUGGAGCGGUGAAAUGCGUAGAGAUUGGAAAGAACACCGAUGGCGAAGGCACUUUACUGGGCUAUUACUAACACUCAGAGACGAAAAGCUAGGGUAGCAAAUGGG
rnacentral:rRNA from 1 species